UGCCCAGCAACUCCUAUCCCUACCUCCACGCGGUACCGGCCGGAAACUAUGAGCAACCUUAGGGAAGAUCGGGUAACCAACACAGGUGGGAACUGUGGUCAUAGGCUGACAGGGAAGG
rnacentral:ribozyme from 1 species